rnacentral:rRNA from 1 species
UACGUAGGUGGCAAGCGUUGCUCGGAAUCACUGGGCGUAAAGCGCACGUAGGCGGACUCUUAAGUCGGUGGUGAAAUCCUGGAGCUCAACUCCAGAACUGCCUUCGAUACUGGGAGUCUCGAGUCCGGGAGAGGUGAGUGGAACUGCGAGUGUAGAGGUGAAAUUCGUAGAUAUUCGCAAGAACACCAGUGGCGAAGGCGGCUCACUGGCCCGGUACUGACGCUGAGGUGCGAAAGCGUGGGGAGCAAACAGG